rnacentral:rRNA from 1 species
UUCCGCAAUGGGCGCAAGCCUGACGGAGCAAUACCGCGUGAGGGAAGACUGCCUAUGGGUUGUAAACCUCUUUUUUCAGGGAGGAAUAAAAUGACGUGUACCUGAAGAAUAAGCAUCGGCUAACUCCGUGCCAGCAGCCGCGGUAAGACGGAGGAUGCAAGUGUUAUCCGGAAUCACUGGGCGUAAAGCGUCUGUAGGUGGUUUAAUAAGUCAACUGUUAAAUCUUGAGGCUCAACCUCAAAAUCGCAGUCGAAACUAUUAGACUAGAGUAUAGUAGAGGUAAAGGGAAUUUCCAGUGGAGCGGUGAAAUGCGUAGAUAUUGGAAAGAACACCGAUGGCGAAAGCACUUUACUGGGCUAUUACUAACACUCAGAGACGAAAGCUAGGGUAGCAAAUGGGAUUAGAUACCCCAGUAGUCCUAGCCGUAAACAAUGGAUACUAGAUGUUGAACAGAUCGACCUGUGCAGUAUCAAAGCUAACGCGUUAAGUU